rnacentral:lncRNA from 1 species
GAGUUUCAUCGUACUUCGCCUUCUCCAACUAGGGAAACCCUAAUCCGCCAUCGCCACCGGUGUUCCAGCUCCAACCACCACCCAAACUUCAUCCAUGCAACCAUCGCCCUCCCCUCAACCCCAAUACACCACCAUUUUUCCCCAAGUCCUCACCAAAUCAAUCCAGUUUUGAAUCUGAAAACAAAGAAGAAAAGAACUUGUCAAGCCUUCAAAUUCCCUUGAACGAUAGGGCUUAAAACGGACAUUGACGGUUUGUUUUCCUUGAGAACACACGGUUAAUGCUUGUUUCGAGUCAAAUCGAAGCCGUAGAGUUCAUCGAUCUUUGUUCGGACGACCUUAGAGGUAUUCUUUCUAUCUUUUAUCUGUCGUCUUCCUCGUCAAUUUCGCUAUUUAACUAUCUUUCUGCGGUUUCUCCUCCAUCUUCAUUUUGCCUUUUUCUUUUCAUUUGCCUUCUGUUUUUGUGUGAAUUCGUACCAACAAUAGCCAUGAGUUAAUUUUAAUUAAUUUUGUUAAAGGGAAAAAUUAAUUCAGUUUGUUAGUGUUAAAAUUGUUUGGACUCUUUUGGGGACAUUGUUUGCGAUAAUAUGUUUUGAGUCAGAGUUUUGGGGCCUAGAGUAUUCAUGGGCUGGUUGAAUUUCUUGGGCCCUCGAUUUAUUGUGACCUAUCCCAAACAAUAGCUUUAGAGUUUUGGUUGUUCGAUUUGGGCUGACCUAUAGUUGGUUUGGGUUUAGGGGUAAAAACAGGGCAACUAAGGGUUAGUUUGGGUAAAGACAUAGGGAAUCUCUGAGUUAACUGCUAAGAAGUUGCCUAGAAGCUGCAAAAUGUACUAACUUGUUCCACAAGUUAUUAACUCAGAGGCCCUUUAAGCAAAAGAAAAAGUUGAAAAGGACUAAAAUGAAAUAAACUAAGCCCCAAAGCUGCCCUAGUGACUUGCCUAUAAAGGCAUAGUUACUUGCAGCUCAAUUCAGUUUUUGGGGAAGCUAAAAUUUAAGAAAUAGAAACUACAAAAGUUUUGUUGUUUCAUAGGGGAUUCAGAGAAAAAACUUGAGAAAAACAAAGACAUUUUGAAAAUCUAAGAGAAAAUUAGAAAGAAAAAUCUGAGAAAAAUAAGAGGUUACUGUUCCAUUGAGUUUUCUAGGUGAUCUCUUUCCAGCUCUUGAAAUGAAUCUUGGUCUACUAUUUUAUUGAUCUCUCUUGCUUUGCUUUUCAAAUUUCCCAUUUGUUGAAUCAAUCUUUGGGUUUGUUCGAAUAUUUGAGGAGAAUUUAAUCUGGCUUUUAAGUUUGGUGUGAAGUUUAUUGAACAAGUUGAUAUUCUGCUGAUUUCUGGGUUGGUUUUCAACACUUGGUGGUUGAAUCUGAAGCUUAUUCUCUGCUAUUGUUGUUGCUGAGUCUGCUAAAUCUCACCUUUCCUUUGUGUCUUCUCUUUCCCAGGUAUAUUUUGAUUCUCAUGGACAUUACUUGAGUGUAACACACGAGCUUGAGUUUGGAAAUAUGAAGAUUGUUGUUUACUUGCUAUUAGAUUUUCUUUUCUUUUGGUUUUCCUUUUUUGAUUCCUAGUUGUUCAAUUCAAUUUUGUCUAUUUGUACAUAUGUGCCUGCCUAGUAGCAUAUGAAUUGUUAAUUAGACUAUUCCAAAGGACUAUAAUCACCCUUGC